rnacentral:rRNA from 1 species
UACAAUGGAGAGUUUGAUCCUGGCUCAGGAUGAACGCUAGCGGGAGGCCUAACACAUGCAAGCCGAGCGGUAGAAGACCUUCGGGUCUUUGAGAGCGGCGCACGGGUGCGGAACACGUGUGCAACCUGCCUUUAUCUGGGGGAUAGCCUUUCGAAAGGAAGAUUAAUACCCCAUAAUAUAUUGAAUGGCAUCAUUCGAUAUUGAAAACUCCGGUGGAUAGAGAUGGGCACGCGCAAGAUUAGAUAGUUGGUAGGGUAACGGCCUACCAAGUCAGUGAUCUUUAGGGGGCCUGAGAGGGUGAUCCCCCACACUGGUACUGAGACACGGACCAGACUCCUACGGGAGGCAGCAGUGAGGAAUAUUGGACAAUGGGUGAGAGCCUGAUCCAGCCAUCCCGCGUGAAGGACUAAGGCCCUAUGGGUUGUAAACUUCUUUUAUACUGGGAUAAACCUACUUACGUGUAAGUAGCUGAAGGUACAGUAUGAAUAAGCACCGGCUAACUCCGUGCCAGCAGCCGCGGUAAUACGGAGGGUGCAAGCGUUAUCCGGAUUUAUUGGGUUUAAAGGGUCCGUAGGCGGAUCUGUAAGUCAGUGGUGAAAUCUCAUAGCUCAACUAUGAAACUGCCAUUGAUACUGCAGGUCUUGAGUGAGAUUGAGGUAGCUGGAAUAAGUAGUGUAGCGGUGAAAUGCAUAGAUAUUACUUAGAACACCAAUUGCGAAGGCAGGUUACCAAGUCUUAACUGACGCUGAUGGACGAAAGCGUGGGGAGCGAACAGGAUUAGAUACCCUGGUAGUCCACGCCGUAAACGAUGCUAACUCGUUUUUGGGCCUUCGGGUUCAGAGACUAAGCGAAAGUGAUAAGUUAGCCACCUGGGGAGUACGAUCGCAAGAUUGAAACUCAAAGGAAUUGACGGGGGCCCGCACAAGCGGUGGAGCAUGUGGUUUAAUUCGAUGAUACGCGAGGAACCUUACCAAGACUUAAAUGGGAAAUGACAGAUUUGGAAACAGAUCCUUCUUCGGACAUUUUUCAAGGUGCUGCAUGGUUGUCGUCAGCUCGUGCCGUGAGGUGUUAGGUUAAGUCCUGCAACGAGCGCAACCCCUGUCACUAGUUGCUAACAUUCAGUUGAGGACUCUAGUGAGACUGCCUACGCAAGUAGAGAGGAAGGUGGGGAUGACGUCAAAUCAUCACGGCCCUUACGUCUUGGGCCACACACGUGCUACAAUGGCCGGUACAGAGGGCAGCUACCAGGUGACUGGAUGCGAAUCUCGAAAGCCGGUCUCAGUUCGGAUUGGAGUCUGCAACUCGACUCUAUGAAGCUGGAAUCGCUAGUAAUCGCGCAUCAGCCAUGGCGCGGUGAAUACGUUCCCGGGCCUUGUACACACCGCCCGUCAAGCCAUGGAAGUCUGGGGUACCUGAAGUCGGUGACCGUAACAGGAGCUGCCUAGGGUAAAACAGGUAACUAGGGCUAAGUCGUAACAAGGUAGCCGUACCGGAAGGUGCGGCUGGAACAUCUCAUUUUAGAGCGUCUUC